UUGAAAACAUUAGUUGUAUUUGAAAUGAGAAAACCUCCCAAUACAACUGUCUUGUCAGAAUUCAAACGAAGUAAUUUGGUGAAAACUCCCAGGGGCGCCGGAAGCAACAUGAAGCGGCGGGGGCAGCCAUUUGGAAAGGGCACCUACUCUUGAGCCUUAAUUUUUUUUUUUUUUGGGGGGGGGCAAUGUUCGUUAACAUUUUGCUGUAUAACGGAUACUUCAUUACUUGUAGCUAAUACAGUUAGACAAAUUUCGGCAUGGAUUGGAACAUUUUUAUUCGUUGCAUGACACUAAAGACUAAAGUGUAGUG